ACGAACGCUGGCGGCAUGCCUAACCCAUGCAAGUCGAACGAUUGCCUUCGGGUGAUAGUGGCGCACGGGUGCGUAACGCGUGGGAAUCUGCCCUUAGGUUCGGAAUAACAGCUGGAAACGGCUGCUAAUACCGGAUGAUAUCGCGAGAUCAAAGAUUUAUCGCCUGAGGAUGAGCCCGCGUUGGAUUAGGUAGUUGGUGGGGUAAAGGCCUACCAAGCCGACGAUCCAUAGCUGGUCUGAGAGGAUGAUCAGCCACACUGGGACUGAGACACGGCCCAGACUCCUACGGGAGGCAGCAGUGGGGAAUAUUGGACAAUGGGCGCAAGCCUGAUCCAGCAAUGCCGCGUGAGUGAUGAAGGCCCUAGGGUUGUAAAGCUCUUUUACCCGGGAAGAUAAUGACUGUACCGGGAGAAUAAGCCCCGGCUAACUCCGUG
rnacentral:rRNA from 1 species